rnacentral:rRNA from 1 species
CCUACGGGGGGCAGCAGUGAGGAAUAUUGGUCAAUGGACGAGAGUCUGAACCAGCCAAGUAGCGUGAAGGAUGAUUGCCCUAUGGGUUGUAAACUUCUUUUAUAUGGGAAUAAAACGUUCCACGUGUGGGAUUUUGUAUGUACCAUAUGAAUAAGGAUCGGCUAACUCCGUGCCAGCAGCCGCGGUAAUACGGAGGAUCCGAGCGUUAUCCGGAUUUAUUGGGUUUAAAGGGAGCGUAGGUGGAUUGUUAAGUCAGUUGUGAAAGUUUGCGGCUGAACCGUAAAAUUGCAGUUGAAACUGGCAGUCUUGAGUACAGUAGAGGUGGGCGGAAUUCGUGGUGUAGCGGUGAAAUGCUUAGAUAUCACGAAGAACUCCGAUUGCGAAGGCAGUUCACUGGACUGCAACUGACACUGAGGCUCGAAAGUGUGGGUAUCAAACAGGAUUAGAUACCCCUGUAGUC